rnacentral:rRNA from 1 species
GUCUCCGGCCAUACCACCCUGAACGUGCCUGAUCUCAUCUGAUCUCAGAAGUUAAGCAGGGUCGGGCAUGGUUAGUACCUGAAUGGGAGACCACCUGGGAAUAUUGGGUGCUGUAGGCU